AAAUGAAUAGACGGGGGCCCGCACAAGCAGCGGAGCGUGUGGUUUAAUUCGAUGCAACACGAAGAACCUUACCAAGGCUUGACAUGCUGGAAGUAGCGAACCGAAAGGGGAGCCACCUGUUAAGUCAGGAGCCUGCACAGGUGCUGCAUGGCUGUCGUCAGCUCGUGCCGUGAGGUGUUGGGUUAAGUCCCCCAACGAGCGUAACCCUCGUUGCCAGUUGUAUUCUCUGGCGAGACUGCCUCGCAAAACGGGGAGGAAGGUGGGGAUGACGUCAAGUCAGCACGGCCCUUAUGCCUUGGGCUACACACACGCUACAAUGGACGGUACAAUGGGAUGCAAUGGAGCGAUUCGGAGCUAAUCCUGAAAGCCGUUCUCAGUUCGGAUUGCAGGCUGAAACCCGCCUGCAUGAAGUCGGAGUUGCUAGUAACCGCAAGUCAGCAAAUUGCGGUGAAUACGUUCUCGGGCCUUGUACACACCGCCCGU
rnacentral:rRNA from 1 species